CGCUGAAGCGUUCCAAAUGACGCAACAAUACAGUUCCAGAACAGAGAAAGUUAAUGCCGAAGAUGUUGUUCGGUUCCACACUAAAACUGCUGUUUGACAAGUGUGAUUUGAGAAAUAAAACUUGUAGACCUUUCCUGCAGUCUCUGAGGAGAUGGACACCUCUUCUUCUUCUGGACGAUCUCCGUCUCCUACUGGGACUGUCUUCUUACCCCCUCCUAUCAUGUGGAACAGUCUCUACAAGCAGGCAGAGAUGGAGGUUCAGUUCCUGAGGGAAGAGAAGAAGACCUGUACAGAGAAGGAAGCCCACAUGCUUGAGUUGAGGGGGAAGGAUCGAACGAUCCGAAAUCAGAAGAAGGAGAUGGACAGACUUCAAGUGUGCCUCUGGGAGGAGGAAAA